GACGAACGCUGGCGGCGUGCCUAAUACAUGCAAGUAGAACGCACAGGAUGCACCGUAGUUUACUACACCGUAUUCUGUGAGUUGCGAACGGGUGAGUAACGCGUAGGUAACCUGCCUGGUAGCGGGGGAUAACUAUUGGAAACGAUAGCUAAUACCGCAUAAGAACAUUUACUGCAUGGUAGAUGUUUAAAAGGUGCAAAUGCAUCACUACCAGAUGGACCUGCGUUGUAUUAGCUAGUUGGUGAGGUAACGGCUCACCAAGGCAACGAUACAUAGCCGACCUGAGAGGGUGAUCGGCCACACUGGGACUGAGACACGGCCCAGACUCCUACGGGAGGCAGCAGUAGGGAAUCUUCGGCAAUGGGGGGAACCCUGACCGAGCAACGCCGCGUGAGUGAAGAAGGUUUUCGGAUCGUAAAGCUCUGUUGUUAAGGAAGAACGUGUGUGAGAGUGGAAAGUUCACACAGUGAC
rnacentral:rRNA from 1 species